UGAGCCAAAGUCCGAUGCUCAACCAACUGAGCCACCGAAAUGCUGCAUAAGGCGUGGAUUUUGAAGGGACCUGCAGGAGCGGUUCUGGCCGUCUUCCACCGCUACCAGAGCUCCAAGGAACCGAGCUGAGUUGUGGAGAAACAGCCUGUGGAAACUAGCUGGUUAUUCUGACACGUCCUCCUCAGUGACGCCCGCCUCCCCCUUGGAGUUGAAUGAUGUCCAGGGGGAGAAUCGCAUACUCAUAAAUCAUACUCAGUCAAAGACAGAAUAUUCUUUGAAGGAUAUAGUAGCUUCCAUCUGUGGUUUUUACUGUGUAUGCCAAGGUUUUCUCCUUUGUGGGAUCUUACUUCUGAAAUAGCAAUGGAAGUCAAUGGGAAAAUGUGAUG